UAGGGAAUAUUAGAAAUGGACGAAAGUCUGAUCUAGCAACACCGCGUGUGAGAAGAAGGCAUUCGGGUUGUAAAGCACUUUUUGGAAGGAUUAGGAAGGAAUGUACUUCCAGAAUAAGUCUCGGCUAACUACGUGCCAGCAGCCGCGGUAACACGUAGGAGGCAAACGUUAUCAGGAUUUACUGGGCGUAAAGCGCGUGUAGGUGGUUCUGUAAGUAGGGCGUGAAAGCUCCUGGCUCAACUGGGAGAGGCCGUUCUAAACUGCAGAGCUAGAGGAUGGUAGAGGGAGGGGGAAUUCCGGGUGUAGCGGUGGAAUGCGCAGAUAUCCGGAGGAACACCAGUGGCGAAAGCGGCCUCCUGGACCAUUCCUGACACUCAGACGCGAAAGCUAGGGUAGCAAACG
rnacentral:rRNA from 1 species